rnacentral:rRNA from 1 species
AACGAACGCUGGCGGCAGGCUUAACACAUGCAAGUCGAACGCAUCGCAAGAUGAGUGGCAGACGGGUGAGUAACGCGUGGGAAUCUACCCAUCUCUGCGGAAUAGCUCUGGGAAACUGGAAUUAAUACCGCAUACGCCCUACGGGGGAAAGAUUUAUCGGGGAUGGAUGAGCCCGCGUUGGAUUAGCUAGUUGGUGGGGUAAAGGCCUACCAAGGCGACGAUCCAUAGCGGGUCUGAGAGGAUGAUCAGCCACAUUGGGGCUGGGACACGGCCCAAACUCCUACGGAAGGCAGCAGUGGGGAAUAUUGGACAAUGGGCGCAAGCCUGAGCCAGCCAUGCCGCGUGGGUGAUGAAGGCCUUAGGGUUGUAAAGCUCUUUCACCGGUGAAGAUAAUGACGGUAACCGGAGAAGAAGCCCCGGCUAACUUCGUGCCAGCCGCCGCCGUAA